rnacentral:misc_RNA from 1 species
ACAUCACAAUAUCGCUCGCCAUUUGCUUUUGCUGGAAUGUUCAGUCGUUCACACGUGUGUCGUGCUCAGUAUAUUUUCUUUGCGUAUGCACUUGCAUAAUCGUGCAAAAAUUUAGGUGACGCGAAGUAUUCAUCAACAUAAAAAGUGUUGAUCGUGUUUGUUGGUGCUAAAAACAAUACUAUCAUAGUCAAACAAAUAAUUAAGUUUCAUUAAGUACAAGUAUCUUUUGACAUCCUACUGACUGCAAGUAUUCUAAGUUUUUUUUGUAAAAUAUAAGAAUCGUAAUAUUGUAAAAAUUUAUUAAAGUGGUGAUUCGUGUGAUAAUUUGUGUAGUAAUUUGUGAGGCGUUUUACAUUGUGACUAAUUUGGCUACUUGCAUUGAGAGUCGUAGAUCGUUGGCCAUCGUUAGCUGAAUCGAGUUUGGGUGAAGAGUAAGACUGCGUUGGAUUGUCUGGUGACUGCAUUUGGGAAUAUCACACAUUCUUGCUAUAAGCUUGAAGAAAAAUGCCGAAGAAAUCCAACAAGUCGUGGGGAGGACGUGGAAACGGCCGAGGAAAUGAAGACAAAGGUUACUUCGGUCAUGACGAUCGUGUAGGAAGAAAUGUAGGGAGAGAUGGGAUUCAUAUUGGCCCUACAAAGCAUCGGGUUUCUUUCAAGACUUUUCGGCCUAACAACAGGGACAUGUCACGCAACUUAGCAUUGGUAAAUUUGGAUGAGGAUAUUCCAAUGACUGGAAGUUCCAACAACAAUAGGCAGGUAGUGAUUAACCAGAGAGAUAGAGAAAGGGGUGACAGGGCUUGGCGAAUUGUGUCUCGUGGAAGAAACAGUCCCAUGCCAAAUAGACAUUUCAAGGGAGGCCAGCAAGGUUCUAGAAUGCGACCUCUUCCCAUUGGCGAAUCAAGUUGGUAUAGAAUUAUUAUACCAUAUGGUCAUAAGUAUGAAAAGGAUUAUGUAAUAAAUACUCUUUUGAAUUAUAUGGCGCCUGAAGUAUUUGUUCCCUUAACAUACAAGUUAAUGGGAAAUGAAGCUAGUUUCUAUGUGGAUGAUUAUAAGACGGCAAAUGCAUUGCUAAACUGCGAUCGUAAAAUUACGAUGAGUGAUGGAUUUAAGUUACAAGUGAAGGCAAAACCAGGAUUUCCAGUCUGUGAAAUUGAUAAUAAAUUGAAAGAGCGAUUGAAGCAAGCGAUGGUGAAGAGAUAUGUACAAGAGACGAAUGCUUUAGAUUUGUCCAAGUUUCACCUUGAUCCUGAACUUUAUUCUGAUUAUUUUUGUGCAUUGUUCCACCCUAUUAUGUUAAUAACUGUGUUGGAUAUUGUGGGGGAACACAUACCAAACUUAGAAGCUCUCAACCUGGAGGGCAAUAAGUUGCAGAAUAUCGAGAGACUUAGUGUACUAAGUAAAAAGUUCUCGAAAUUGAAGAUUCUUUAUAUCAGCGAUAAUAAGAUUAGAGACAUUCAUCAGCUAGACUUCAUUAAGGAUUUAAAAUUAGUCGAAUUGAAGUUAACUGGAAAUCCUGUCUGUAAUAAAUAUAAAUCUCGACAAAAUGACUAUGUUAGCGGAUAUUUCUUUUGCUAUUAUAGCGACGUCCGAAAAAGGUUCCCUAAGCUGCUGCAUCUGGAUGGCAUCGAAUUACCACGACCGAUUGUCUUCGAUGUUGUUGACGACGCUGCCAAGAUUCCCCCGUCGCAGAGAAUGUUUGUCGCUGAUGCAAAAGCACAAGACAUUGCAAGUCAAUUUUUGCAGCAAUAUUUCACUAUAUUUGACAGUGAAAAUAGACAACCCUUACUUGAUGCGUAUGACGAACAUGCAUGCUUUAGCAUGACAAUAACCACUUCUCACAAUAACAAAUUAAAUGGGUAUCUCCUGGAGAAUCGGAAUCUAUUCAGAAUAAAUGACAACAAUAGAAGACAGAAAUUAUUAAAACAGGGUAGAUUACCUGUAGUUUCUUUUGUAUCAGAAUUACCACGAACGAGGCACUUAUUGAACACCUUUACAAUGGACAUCUCUCUUGCUGCACAAACGAUGAUGUUUAUUACGAUAACGGGCUACUUCCAAGAACUCGAUAAUAAAAGCGAGCCUAUCCGCUACUUUAACCGGACAUUUAUAAUUGUUCCGGAAGGUGAAGGAUACUGUAUUCGAAAUGAACAGUUACAUAUCAGUCAGCCGCCUGAGGCGCAAUUGAAGCAACUGCACCAGCAAUUGAGUCAGCUAAGCAAUCAGCAAACUCAGCUAACAACACCAGCGCUUAGACCCAUAGAAGAGGUAAAACCGAUGGCAACGGAGCUCAGCGACGAUAUAAAACAGCAGAUGACGAUGACAUUGAGCCAGCAAACAAAUAUGAAUCUGGAAUGGAGUUUGAAGUGCUUGCAAGAGACGCAGUGGAAUUAUGAAAACGCCCUCUCUGCCUUUCAAGAAUUUUUUGCGCGUGGACAGAUACCAUCAGAAGCGUUUACGAAGUAAAUACAUAAUGUGAGUAGAAAUUCAUCACUGUGAUAAUAACUUGUAAGGAAAGUCUGAGAGCGAAAUUUUUUAUAAAACAUCAAACUCCAUUCUCUGUUCUGUUUAUAUUCUUAUAUUUAUUUUUUUUGCGAGUAUACCCUUAUUUGUAUCUUACAUCAAAACCUGAAUAGAAAUCCAUAAAUUUGUUUACUUGUCAGUUUUGUAUCUGUAGCAACGACAGAUAGAUAUUAAUUUCUACAACAAAAAAAAGAAAAUGCUGAAAAAGAAUUAAUAUGUAUUAAUAUUUCUUCUAGUUUCUAAAGGGUUUCUAAUGAAUUUCUAAGAAGAUAUGUCUGUAAUCCGUCUUGUUUAAGCUUACAAAAUUGCACAAUACCCCCCAUGAAAGUUGUUAAAAAUCACAAUUCUAGUUUCAUUGUAAUCUUAAUGUAAAAAAGAUUACUGUAAUAUAUUAAUUGACAACAUUAAUGAAAAUUAAACUACAUUUAAAAAAAAUUGUUUGCAUACAAGCUUUUUUCCUGAAAAAAGUGUUCAUGCUUACAAUAAACUUAAAACGAUUAUUUAAUUAAGAAUAUAAAUACAUGUAUUACAAUUGUAAUAAAAUUUUGUAAUAAAAUAUAAAUUUUUGAGCAUAUAUAUAAUGUGUAAAAUCAAGUGAAACUAACUAAAUAUUUUCAACAAUUUUUUAUAUAGUUAUUUGUACAUUUUUUAUUAAUGCUGUUAUAUUAAUAAGUAUGUAAUAUCUAAAUUGAAAUGUAGAUUAUGUACGCAUUUGAUUUGUAAGACAAGUCGGAUUUCCAACAUCAGAAAACAAUAUUAUAGUAAUAAUUUUAUUACAACUCGAAUUUCAGGUCAGGUUUUGAUAUAUGAUAUAAAAAUAUCUUUUUUUCAAUUUUAAAGAAAUUUGAAAAGAAAAAAAGAUUUACUAUUUCUAUAUAAAGGAAAAAAGUACUGUUAAUUUUGCAUUAAGACACGAGCAUGCAUUCAUAAUCAAAUUCUGGCAUAGACAGUAUUAACGAUGAAACAUUUUUUUGUAUGUAAAAGAAUUGCGUACCAUUUGAUAUAAAAAAUGAGAUGUAUUUCUCACAUACAUCUCACAUACACAAACACAUAAGUGUUCUUGCGGUAUAUAUAUUAUAUUUUCUAAAGUAUAAAUUAACUUUUUUAAUUCAUAAAAAGUAUGAAAGAAAUAAGUCUGUAUUCCAUUAGUAUCUUUAAUAUUAUCGGAUUUGUCGAUGGUUCAUGUAUAUUCAACAAUGAUGUUAGAUACAGAAACAAAAAUGUUUAAAUUGGCCAUGUUCAAGCUGAAUGAGGCAGCUAGUAGUUAUUCGCCGAGCAAUUCAGUUGGCUCUAUCCAACUUGAACAUGGUCACUUUUUAAAUUAAAUUUACAGGCCUUAUAGCGAAUUUGGUCGCCUGCACUCAGUGUACAUACACUAAGACAGGCGACCGAAUUUGCUAAUAGUUAAAAGAGAUAUCGAUAUUUUUUAUUCAAAAAUAGAAUAUAAUAUAUAAGAAAAUUAUGAAUUCUAUUUAUAAUACAUACAUUUUAUUUAAAAAAUUAAAAAGUAUCCCUAUCUCUAAAUAGAAAAAGAUCUCUGUUUAUACCUGUAAAAGGCAUACAAUAUUUAUAAUUAUUUCUCUAACAUCAUUGCAUAGUUAACUUAAGAAAUUAAGUAAAAGUACAUAUAUUUCUUUUUGUAUAUAUAAAAUUCGAUUUUUAAAAAUGUAGAAUUACAUUUUUGUUCUAUUAACUGGGUUUUAUUGAGUAUAUAAUGUUUUAAUUUUAUCCAAUUAAUAGAUCAAAAAUACGCGCAAAUAGAACUUAGAUUUUUAUAUUUAUAUCUGCAAUUUUAGAAAAGUCUCGAACAUAAGACUUUAGUUAUUAAAAAGCGCGCGCACGCACACACACACACACACACACACACACACACACACACACACACACACACACACACACACACCACCACAUACAUAUAUAUCAAACAAUUUCUUUAAAGAAAAAGCCAGUGCAAUUUUGUAGAAAGUACAAUCAGUUUCUCAAAAUUGUCAUUUAAUAGAUAUAAUUGCAAUUGAAUAGCACUUUUUAUAAAUUGUAAAUAGCGUCAUAGAAUAAUAAAUUACGCGUCCGUAAAUUGUUAGGUAUAUUAGGUGAAGUGGAGCGCUCGCUUACGUUAUGUGAGUGUAAAUUAUUCGUCCGAGAAAUAUUUCGUGACAAAGAUUAAUUUUUUUUUUACAUUUUACGAUAUACGUUAUGUUCGCAUAUAUGCGAAACGCACAACCUUUAGUUCUUAUUUUAAACUAUUUAAGGAUGUGAUUUCCGCACCUCGUACAUACACACAUCCAAAGAGAGGUAAAGAGCUGCUACAGGCAUUGUAUACUAGGAUGAUGUUCUGAAAAAGUUUUAGAUCCAGAGCAAUAUCCUGGUAUAUUCUAUUCCUAACUGGGAUUCCUAACUCAAGGGCCAGGCGAUGUGCCAGAAAACGAGCAACGCUAAUCCGAAUCCCAGAUAUUAUCUGGUCAGAAAGGUGUACACUCGGCGUAGCUCUUUUGAAAGACAUUGAAGGUUUCUAGAACUUAGUGGGGGUGAAGAAGUCUGCUAUGAGAUACAACAGUUGUUUAAGCACGGCCUGUUUUCCACGAUAUAUGCACUCAGCUUAUAUCAUCACAGUGGGAAUAAUGACAGUGGUUCUGCAUUUUUCUCUUGAAUCAAGAGACUUUCUAUGUGUUUAUGGAGCAGAUAUAAUCCUUAAUGUGCGGAUGUGUUAUAUAGAUAGACAUAUGGACUUCAACUAUAUCACACACAAUGACAAUUCGCGUAGUAGUGUGGAAAAAUAUAAUAAACGCCUAAAUGAUGAGACGAAGCGGAAAGAAAUAAUUUAUACUCACAUACUCGUACGCGAUAGUUUUAAUUAAAAAAAAAAACAUGUAGUACUUUGACUGUAUAACAUGUGCGAAAUAUCAAAAAAACUUGUAUACAUCUAUAAGCAAAAUUUUACAAAUUACCGAUAUGAUCAGAAGGCAAAAUGUUCUUUUUUAUGUUAAUAUGUGCAAGAAAAAAGAUUAAUUAUUAAUUAAUAGAUACUUUCGAUUUGUAAAACUUGUCCCAAUUAUGUAAGUGUAAGAAUCUGAUAUCAAUAUUACAUAAGUAAGCAUUAUAAUUUUUUUUCAUAAAGAAGACUAAAUAUCAUCAAAUUAAUGUAUUAAUGUAUGUAAUUAACGAAUGAUAUGUCUUACAUAAAAUGAUAUGUUAUACAUAAUGUAAAUACUUUUAUUAAUAAGUGUCAGUGAUGUAUUAAGAAUUGCUUGCACUGGCAAUACUUGACUAUGUAUGAAUAUGAAUAAAAAAAUUAUUUUGUAACUCA